UUAUAAUGAACGCACUGCAGACACAAAGAAGUAUUAAAUAUCAACUAGAGAUGACCCUGAAAUAUUAAACAUGUUUUUGUUUUCAGAAGCGUGUGUGUUUGGGGGCGGAGUCUGAGUGUCCAAUGGAAACGUCGCUCACCUUCACAGCGUCCAAUCAGCAGCCAGAGCAGCAGGUGUGUGUAGUUCAGUCCAGGUCUGCUCUCUGCUGCCCCCGCUGCCUCGCAGGAGAACCGGGUCACAUCAAACACAUCCUGGGUCUGUGACGAGCCAACAGGAAGUCCCCUCCUCCCUCCCACAGCCGUCCAAUCAGAAUCCCCUCCUGCUGGAUGAUGUCAUCUGGCCCCCUGGAAGGACCAAUCAGCUGCUUGUGUCCGAUGUCUUCGCACGUUUCGUCUGAACGUCACGAGAAGCGGGAACGUUCCAAUAUUGGGAGUACUGCUCCUUUAAUCUCAAGCCCCGCCCCCUCUCCCAGCCAAUUACAGAGCUUCCUGCUGCAACCCUGCAGUCUGAUUGGCUCUCCUGAUCAGCUGUGGAAACUAAAGGUCACUCAAGAGCCUGAAGACCAAUGAGAGCAGCAGAGGUGUUUUUAUUUUGAAAAUCCCCCCGCAUGCACUUCCUGUCCUUCUCUGCCCAGGUGGAAGUGAAAUCUGAUUCCACUUCCUGUUCCUCAGGAGACGCUCGUUAAGGACCCUUAAAUAUUGAUUACUCUAAGAGUUAAUACCCGGUGAAACCAGAGCGUUCUGUCAGACAGGAAGCAGAUAAAGUCUGGUUUGAAUAUUAUUAAUUGUUUAAUUGAAGAGUAACCGCUUCCUGUUUGUACAUUUAUAUUUUUAUAUCCGUUUUAUAAAUCUGACUGAAUGUAAAGCAGUGACCAAUCACAGCGCAGCGUUUGUACCACGACUGAUUUCAAAAUAAAAGUAAAAACUGUUUCCUGUUCAAUAAAGAAAUAAAACUUUAUUCACAAAA